UACAGCCACAUCAUGUUGAAACACAGGUUCCCAUACAAUCAUUGAAGUUAAGCAAUAUCGAGACAGGUUAGUACAUAAAUGGGUAACCCCUUGGGAAUAACAAGUGCU